rnacentral:lncRNA from 1 species
UCUGGGGGGGUCUUCGGGGGAUUUAUGGGAUCCCACUGGGGUUUAUUGGGAUCCCGCUGAGAUUUGGGGGAUCCCAUUGAGUUUCAUGGGGUCCCAUUGGGGUUUCCGGGUUCCCGUUGGGAUUUUUGGGGUCCCCGAUCGGACAUCGAUGCCUCCCGAUGACUUUUUGGGGUAUUUUAUUGGGAUUUCGGGGCUCCCGUUGAGAUUUGGGGGUCGCUGUGGGGCAGCAUGGGGGGCUAUGGGGUCUCUAUGGGGUCUCUAUUGUUCCCUAUAGGACCCUAUGGGGUCUGUAUGUGUCCCUAUAGGGUCUCUAUGGUCCCUAUGUGUCCCUAUAUGUCCAUAUAGGGUCGCUAUGGGGUCCCUAUGGUGUCUAUGGGGUCCCUAUGGGGUCUCUAUGAUCCCUAUAUGUCCCUAUAUGUCCAUAUAGGGUCUCUAUGGGGUCUAGGGUCCCUAUGGGGUCUGUAUGCGUCCCUAUAGGGUCUCUAUGGUCCCUAUAAGUCCCUAUAUGUCCAUAUAGGGUCACGAUGGGGUCCCUAUGGUGUCUAUGGGGUCCCUAUGGGGUCUCUGUGGUCCUUAUGUGUCCCUAUAUGUCCAUAUAGGGUCUCUAUGGGGUCUAGGGUCCCUAUGGGGUCUGUAUGCGUCCCUAUAGGGUCUCUAUGGUCCCUAUAAGUCCCUAUAUGUCCAUAUAGGGUCCCUAUGGGAUCCCUGUGGGGUCUAUGGGGUCCCUAUGGUGUCUGCAGUCCCUAUGGGGUCCUUAUGGGGACUCUAUGGGGUCUCUGUGGUCCCUAUGUGUCCCUAUAUGUCCAUAUAGGGUCCCUAUGGGAUCCCUGUGGGGUCUAUGGGGUCCCUAUGGUGUCUGCAGUCCCUAUGGGGUCCUUAUGGGGACUCUAUGGGGUCUCUGUGGUCCCUAUGUGUCCCUAUAUGUCCAUAUAGGGUCCCUAUGGGAUCCCUGUGGGGUCUAUGGGGUCCCUAUGGUGUCUGCAGUCCCUAUGGGGUCCUUAUGGGGACUCUAUGGGGUCUCUGUGGUCCCUAUGUGUCCCUAUAUGUCCAUAUAGGGUCCCUAUGGGAUCCCUAUGGUGUCUGCGGUCCCUAUGGGGUCUCUAUGGGGUCCCUAUGUGUCCCUAUGGGAUCCCUAUGGUUCCUAUAUGGCCCUACAGUCCCUAUAGUGUCCCUAAAUGUCCCUCUAUAUCCCUACGGGGUCCCUCUGGGGUCCCUGUGGUCCCUAUGGGGUCCCUAUAAGCGCCUCUAUGUCCCUACAGUCCCUCUGUGUCCCUACGGGGUCCCUAUGGGGUCCCUAUACACCCCUAUAGGUCCCUCUGUGUCCCUAUGGGGUCCCAAUGGUGUCCCUAUGGGGUCCCUAUGGUUCCUCUAUGUCCCUAUGGGGUCCCUCUGUGUCCCUAUGGGGUCCCUAUGGGAUCUCAAUGGUGUCCCUCUAUGUCCCUAUGGGGUCCCUCUGUGUCCCUAUGGGGGAUCCCAAUGUUGUCCCAAUGUUGUCCCUGUGGGGUCCCUCUGUGUCCCACUGGUGUCCCUAUGGGGUCCCAGUGUUGUCCCUAUGGGGUCCCUCUAUGUCCCAAUGGUGUCCCUAUGGGGUCCCUCUGGAGUCCCUCUGUGUCCCUAUGGGAUCUCAAUGGUGUCCCUCUAUGUCCCUAUGGGGUUCCUCUGUGUCCCUAUGGGGUCCCAAUGGUGUCCCAAUGGGAUCCCUACAGUGUCCCAGUGGUGUCCCAGUGGUGUCCCUAUGGGGUCCCUCUGUGUCCCUAUGGUGUCCCUAUGGGGAUCCCAAUGUUGUCCCUCUAUGUCCCAAUGGUGUCUCUAUGGGAUCCCAAUGGUGUCCCACUGGUGUCCCUAUGGGGUCCCUAUGGGGGAUCCCAAUGUUGUCCCUAUGGGGUCCCUAUGGGAUCUCAAUGGUGUCCCUCUAUGUCCCUAUGGGGUCCCUCUGUGUCCCUCUGGUGUCCCUAUGGGGAUCCCAAUGUUGUCCCAAUGGGGUCCCUCUGUGUCCCUAUGGGGUCCCUAUGGUGUCCCUCUGGUCCUUAUGGGAUCCCAGUGGUGUCCCUAUGGGGUCCCUCUGGGUCCCUAUGGUCCCUCUAUGUCCCUAUGGGGUCCCUAUGUUGUCCCUAUGGGAUCCCUCUGGUGUCCCUAUAGGGUCUGUAUGGUCCCUCUAUGUUCCUAUGGGGUCCAUAUGGGGUCCCAAUGUUGUCCCUAUGGGGUCCCUCUGUGUCCCUCUGGGGUCCCUAUGGGGGAUCCCAAUGUUGUCCCUAUGGGGUCCCU